GAUGAACGCUGGCGGCGUGCCUAAUACAUGCAAGUCGAGCGAACGGACGAUAAGCUUGCUUCUCUGAUGUUAGCGGCGGACGGGUGAGUAACACGUGGAUAACCUACCUAUAAGACUGGGAUAACUUCGGGAAACCGGAGCUAAUACCGUAUAAUAUUUUGAACCGCAUUGUGCAAAAGUAAAAGACGGUGUUGCUGUCACUUAUCGAUGGAUCCGCGCUGCAUUAGCUAGUUGGUAAGGUAACGGCUUACCAAGGCAACGAUGCAUAGCCGAACUGAGAGAGUGGUAGGCCACACUGGAACGGAGACAGGGUCCAGACUACUACGAGAGGCAGCAGUCGGCUACCUGACGCAAUGGGCGAAAGCAUGACGGAGCAACGCCGAGUGAGAGAUGAAGGUCUUCGGAUCGUAAAACUCUGUUAUUAGGGAAGAACCUCUGUGUAAGUAAACGAGCACAGAGUGACGGUAACUAAUCAGAAAGCAACGGCUAACUACGUG
rnacentral:rRNA from 1 species